CUCAGGUACUAAUUAGACCAUCAAGACUUCAGGUAAUACCUUGAAAGUCAUCACAGAGAGCAAUCAACAUACCCAAAACAACCCAGAUUUGGAAAUUUGCUGUGUGUAUUUAAAUAGUUUCAACAGUUCACUACCAGCUGGGGACUCUGAGUGGCAGAAACUACCCACCUAUCAAGUCAACUCACCAUGCUUGGAAACUUUAAAGGGCAUUGGUGACAUUAAAUCAUAUUUUAUACUCUGCUGCUUCCUUCAAAAAAAUGAAGUUAACACUUUUAAAAGCGGGGAGUUCAGGCUUCCAGCUUAUCUCAGACAGAACUGAUGAGCCCUGUGCAAGCUUCAGCACCAACUGAUCAGCUGAGGGCUGUCUCAAGCAGAGUAACCUAAGGAAGAGGAAGGUUAUGGGAGAUCAUUGAGAAGUGUUUUGGGGUGUGGACAGCAUGAAAAAGAAAACUGGUUUUUCCUGGCAUCUGCUUUUCUUACAAAUCUUCAUCUUGGCAGAAACAGGAAAGAAAUAUAUCGGGAAUUGAAAGAAACUUACAAAAGGCUCACAAUAGUCAUUGCUGCCGGAAAACAUCUCAGCACAACAGAUGGAUUCUCAAGUAAGUCAGAUAAAUCAGAUCACGAUGUGAAUGGAAAUGCUGAAAUCCUGCAAGUUGGACAGAUUUUUUUUCUUGCUAUUCGUAUCUUUCCUUGUAUGUGAUGAAAUUGGCUUUUUAGUACAGUACAGGCUAUGAGCUCUCUUGUGCAGAUCCAAUGGCCAUAACAGGAAAGCUGCGUAGAAAAAAGGGUGCACUCAAAAGAAGUAGGGAAGGGCCUGAUGGAAAGCAGGAGGUAAGGGGGCAGAGCUGAGCAGCCAAAGCAUGAUGCAUAAAGAAGGUAAAGAAAUGUACUUGUCUGCAUACAGUUCUCAAAUCCAACAACUCUGCCCUCAGAUCCCACUCUUACACGCUGGGAGAAAUCCACUUGGAAAGACAGAAGUAGAAUGUAUAUGAAGGGGGGAGGGAGAAGGAUUGUACGUAUUCACAAAAACUUUUCCACUAAAGAAUUCCUAAGUAUUUUGUAAUACCUGAAACAAUUUCAGGUAAAGCCACUGAGAUUUGAUCCUUGUCUACACAUAGCUAGUGCCAAAAUAGGGAGAAACUUUCAAAAAACCCCUUAAUAUUAAAAAAAUAGAAUAAAUACAAGCUCUCAAAAAUAUAAUGCGUGUGUAAGAAACUGUCUUAAGCGCUUAUUUCUUACCUGUUUUUUCACACAAUUUUGCUAGACCCCCCACCAGAAUCUGUUUAAACGAAACAGGGCUGGAUAAAGAGGGAAUGCAAAUAACUUGGUUUGUUCCUGGUAUUCAGAGAAGUGAGUGCUGAAAGAGGGAAACGCCAGGAUUCCCGUGGGAACCGAGGGGGUCAGCCCCUCUAGGAACAGGACCUCCAGGUGAAACGGUGGCCUCACUGGAAGCAGAAAGAAGCAAAGCUCUCAGCUGCUUCUCUGGAGGCAAGCUUUGGUCUGUGCUACCUCUCACAGCCUCAACAAAUACUACACUCAAAGCUCUCUGUAGUGCUGAGGAAUUGUCUCAAUUUUCUUCUAUGGGUUUCUUAUUGUGUAUUUUUGCAUAAAACUAUUUUAUUUCAUUCACAGAUACAUAGGAGCUUUAAAAAAUUGAGUUACAGUGCUGUGGUGAACUGGGUCUAAAGAUUUUGGUAAGACUGCCAGCUGGAGGAGGGCUGUCCGACCAGUCUGUCUUUCAGAAAGGUUUAAACCAGGAGUUUGCUCUUGUGACUCCCUGUGGAAAAUGGUUCCGAACAGGCUUCAAUGCCCUGCACUGUUUUUAUAAACUUUCUGCCUUUGUGCCCGUUAGCCCUCUAUUCAGGGCCAAUUUGCACCUAGUUUAUGGUGCUGAUGUUUAUGUUAUCCUAAUAAUGUCUUCACAACCAUGUCCCUGCCAGGCAUUUGUUUUUCAGCCCCUUCUGAUGCCUAGCAAAAUUAAAUUCUUUAGGGUAUGUGUUCUUAAAGAAGUUCUUUGGUUAUUCUGGUGGCAACAAGAUGCAAACCAGAGCUAGAGUUCUUGAGGAGACUUUGUUUGCUUCAGUCUUGCGUUAUGUAGGUUACAUGAAUCUAGCCACCGUGCGGGUCACACCAACAAACUGCUGCAGAGAGAGGCAAAGCAGUGCUGGUGGUCCUCUUAACUGGUUGGGGAAUUACCGUCCCUCAACAUGCUCAUUCAGUGGGCUCCUUUGAAUAGCUUUCUCUCUUGCAUCAUGUUUUUAGUCCUCCAUCUUGCUACUACGCAAGGUAGCUUGAAACCAGCUUGUUUUCACGGCAGUUCUUACUGCUUUUGCCCUCCCUGUAGCACGACUGCCAUGUUACCUGCUACCCACUCAGCCGUGACACCUGCCCAGCGCACAGGCUUGCACAAAGCCUCCCGAACAAAGUACCUCUUCCCCUGUUGGUCUCUGGGGAAAGGGAUUUUUGCAAGCUCUCCCUAGCAGGUUAGACAGAAAGCAAUCCUGGCUCCUGGCCGAGAAGAGGCUGCCAGGCACUUUCUUUGUGUCAGCAUUGCUUAUUGCUCCAAGGGAAGAAACCCCAAGCAUGUGCUGGGCUCCUUUCUCCAAGCUGCGAUUAGCAGAGACACAAAGCGGCUCUGACCAGGCCGGCAUUGCAAGUCUCCUUGACCCAGGAGAACGGAGCGAGCCUAGCCCAUCUCUUCAAACCAGCUGCUGCACAAACUCUGCCCAACCUUCCCUCUGAAUAGCUCUUAGUUGCAAGCUUCAGAAGGGGAAUUCGGGAGCCCAGGCACUUGCUGCUGGCAGCUCAGGGCAUGUCAUGGCAGGCUCCUUACUCUCUUUGAAGUAGGUUUGCUUCAGUGUGAUGUAUGAGAUGCUCCACCACCAAGUCAUCUAGACACCAGACAGCACAAAACUCCUCACUUACUUACUUGUUGAAACCAGACACUCUCAGUAAAACUGUUUCAUCACUUCCAUACUUGUUAUGUUUUUGACCUCUUGAACAAAGAGCUUAAGGCUCACCUGCAGACAGGAAGCAAUUUUUCUGGUGCCUUGUCAGCUGAGGCAAAAGGUAACUAAAGAAAUAUGAUGAAGCUACAAAUACCGUGGACUAGACUUUUAGUCUUUCCGUGUUUAGCAUUUACUCUGUAAGUAGUUCCAAUAAAAUAAUCUAGACAACUCUCUAGUCUAGACCUGUUGAAGUACCCCCAACAUCUUGAUUUCCAAAACAUUAGAGUAUGCGUCAACAUAAAAAGAAAUUUUUUGCAUCUAAGAAAACAGAUGCUAAGAAAUGCUAAGAAAUUAGUUUAAGAAAUAGCUGAGAAAUUUUAAAUACAGAUUAUAUAUAACUAUCCUCUAAAACAUUAUAUAUAUAUAUACACACACACACACUUACUCCUACCAUGCUUUGACAUACUUUUGUAAAAAAUUGAGUAUAUAAUUCUCAAUAGGUUUGAGCUAUCACUUUCCACUAGAUUUGACUGGAAAAAUGGAUUCUCAAAUGAGUAACUGUACUUUUGGGAUAACAGCUAAUAUUCUCUCACUCACAUAGCAUUUUACUUUUUUUUCCUACCUACAAGGGCUUGCAGAAUGCUGGGGUUAUAGCACAGGCAAUACUGCACACUACAGACUGACAGCUAAUACAGGAAUGCACUUACGUGCCAGUUUGAAGUGUAUUGAGAAGCACACAUCUCUGAUACCUGCUACAGCCUAGUGGUAGUCUCUCCAUUUCUAGAUUUGCCAGUGUCCAGCAACAUA